UUAGAGUUUGAUCAUGGCUCAGGACGAACGCUGGCGGCGUGCCUAAUACAUGCAAGUCGAGCGGACAGAUGGGAGCUUGCUCCCUGAUGUUAGCGGCGGACGGGUGAGUAACACGUGGGUAACCUGCCUGUAAGACUGGGAUAACUCCGGGAAACCGGGGCUAAUACCGGAUGGUUGUUUGAACCGCAUGGUUCAGACAUAAAAGGUGGCUUCGGCUACCACUUACAGAUGGACCCGCGGCGCAUUAGCUAGUUGGUGAGGUAACGGCUCACCAAGGCRACGAUGCGUAGCCGACCUGAGAGGGUGAUCGGCCACACUGGGACUGAGACACGGCCCAGACUCCUACGGGAGGCAGCAGUAGGGAAUCUUCCGCAAUGGACGAAAGUCUGACGGAGCAACGCCGCGUGAGUGAUGAAGGUUUUCGGAUCGUAAAGCUCUGUUGUUAGGGAAGAACAAGUGCCGUUCAAAUAGGGCGGCACCUUGACGGUACCUAACCAGAAAGCCACGGCUAACUACGUGCCAGCAGCCGCGGUAAUACGUAGGUGGCAAGCGUUGUCCGGAAUUAUUGGGCGUAAAGGGCUCGCAGGCGGUUUCUUAAGUCUGAUGUGAAAGCCCCCGGCUCAACCGGGGAGGGUCAUUGGAAACUGGGGAACUUGAGUGCAGAAGAGGAGAGUGGAAUUCCACGUGUAGCGGUGAAAUGCGUAGAGAUGUGGAGGAACACCAGUGGCGAAGGCGACUCUCUGGUCUGUAACUGACGCUGAGGAGCGAAAGCGUGGGGAGCGAACAGGAUUAGAUACCCUGGUAGUCCACGCCGUAAACGAUGAGUGCUAAGUGUUAGGGGGUUUCCGCCCCUUAGUGCUGCAGCUAACGCAUUAAGCACUCCGCCUGGGGAGUACGGUCGCAAGACUGAAACUCAAAGGAAUUGACGGGGGCCCGCACAAGCGGUGGAGCAUGUGGUUUAAUUCGAAGCAACGCGAAGAACCUUACCAGGUCUUGACAUCCUCUGACAAUCCUAGAGAUAGGACGUCCCCUUCGGGGGCAGAGUGACAGGUGGUGCAUGGUUGUCGUCAGCUCGUGUCGUGAGAUGUUGGGUUAAGUCCCGCAACGAGCGCAACCCUUGAUCUUAGUUGCCAGCAUUCAGUUGGGCACUCUAAGGUGACUGCCGGUGACAAACCGGAGGAAGGUGGGGAUGACGUCAAAUCAUCAUGCCCCUUAUGACCUGGGCUACACACGUGCUACAAUGGACAGAACAAAGGGCAGCGAAACCGCGAGGUUAAGCCAAUCCCACAAAUCUGUUCUCAGUUCGGAUCGCAGUCUGCAACUCGACUGCGUGAAGCUGGAAUCGCUAGUAAUCGCGGAUCAGCAUGCCCGCGGUGAAUACGUUCCCGGGCCUUGUACACACCGCCCGUCACACCACGAGAGUUUGUAACACCCGAAGUCGGUGAGGUAACCUUUUAGGAGCCAGCCGCCGAAGGUGGGACAGAUGAUUGGGGUGAAGUCGUAACAAGGGGACCU
rnacentral:rRNA from 1 species